AUUUUAUUAAUUAAAAUUUUCUACAGAUUUUAGGGAUUUUUAGAGUUUUAAAUGAAUUUGUAUGACAUAAUUUAAGGGAAUAUAACUACUUAAUUUGUGGGAAACAUAUAUCAUUCAAGUUUAGUUGGGAAUUAAUUAUAAUUACCCUAGGUUAUGGCUAAUUGCCCUAAGUUGAACCGAUUAAAACCUAGGUUUAUAAAGACCUAGUGGUAAGAAAUCCCGUGCUCCUCUUCGCUGUGCAUCGCCGAAAUCACCGUCUAUCUUCUCCUCACCUCCACGGGGUCCGAUCGGGCUUAUCGUUGAGCUCUAAAUCUCGAUCCGAUUUCACCCCAUCUCGGAGGGUUCUGAGAGGUUUACAAGAGGGCGUAGAGUCCGGCGACCAUCACACGGCGGCACGGCAGUGACUGAGGCGAGGCUACGGCAUGGGAACAAGAAGAAAGAAGGCAAGUUCAUAACCUUUAUGAUUGAGCGAGAUCUAUGAGGUAAGGAGGUAGGAACUGAGGAGGAAGGGUGAAUCAUUCACCUAGGAAAGGAGAUUGGCGGAAUGGUUUGCGGAAGUUUUCUAUUCUGUAGAUUUUCAUUCGGUUAAGGUUUUGUUGAAGUUUUCUAUUCUUGAAUCGCAUGUUUUCUAGGAUUUUGUCACUUUGGUGGAGACUGAUUUCCGGUGGAUGGUUCGCUUCUUUUUGUGAAUCUUGUGGUUUCUCAUGAAUUGUGAAUGGGUUAGACUCGAUUAUCUCUGUAGGUGUUGAUGGUUCGAGUUUUCUGUAUGUUUUUCUUCUGCUUGUUGAAAUGCUGAAUCAGGAUGCGGAUUGGUGGUUGAAAACAUGGAUUGAGUUUUUCUGCAACAAUCUUGCUCGACUAAAUGCCUAUAUGGGUUGCUGAAGGGUGAACUGGUGGUGUUUUGAUUCUGGAAUGAUCUGGGUUUGAGGCGUGGUGUGAUUUCUUUGAGGCUGCGGAGUGGUCCUGGUUCGAAUUGGGAUUUUCACAAAGAUUUUGCUAUGGUUUGUGAUCGAAAUGGGUUUCGUUUGGUUUCUUCGAGUUAAUAUGAUUUUAGGAUCUUGUUUUUGGUAGCCUUAGUUAGCUGUGAUAAUGAUGAACUUGUUCUUUGUGCAUCUGGGAAUUUGGAAAGGAUUGUUGGGAAUAAUUGUGGGGUUGUUAAUAUUCUCACUACUUUACAACUGAGUUUUAUGAUACUUGCAUGUUGUUGCACUAUUAAACUUAAUGUAGUUACCUCACCUAACUGUUUAGGAGAUGUAGAAUUAUGGACAAAUUAGAAAUGUAGUCUAUAUUUUAUCAUGCACGAACAUAUUUCAUAUUCUUUAAGUAUCCCAUGCUAUAUAUGAAUGUAGUUGGUGAAAGGUCCGACAGUAUGUUGACAUCCUAUACCAUUUAAUAGUUGUAGAUUUCUAAAAUUUAGGUUGUAUCUAUUUGUUGUAUUUAUUCUGUUAUUACACUUUGAGUUAGCUUUGUAGUGUUUUUGAUUUGUUGGGAAUUAAUAUUCAUGUGGGAUUGGAACUUAGUAUAGUGUUGUAGGAUUGUAAUUUCUUUAUCUCUUCACCAUGAUGCAAGCUUUCAUUAGGUUCUUCUAGUAUGGCUAAUUGAUUAAAAGAUGAACUUUCAUGGUUGAUUGCUCUCUUUUGAGGAUGCAUGAUUUCAUUGUUUUCUUUAAUAUGGAAAAGGUUACCGUAUGAAUGGAAUAGAAAGACAUGUUCAACUGAUACAGAAUAUUGAGGACAUAUUAUGUUUUCCUUUCUUAUGUAGCGAAUAGGAUGAAUAUGAGCAUAUGUGGUGACAAUACGGGAUGAGUGACCCGGGAUGAGCUCCGGGGAGGGCCCAUCCAAACUUGACUGAUAAUUUAUUGUUAGCUUCGGCUAUAUGACUGACUGCAUAUUCUCUAGGAGGCAUCUCUAGGGUCAUGGGAUUGUUGAUUGGCUCAAAUUGUGGUUGCCGGAUAUGUGACUUAUUCACCAUAUUAGCUACAUACUAUGACUUACGCAUCGGGUGAGGAUGACCUCCAGGAUAUGUCGAAAGGCCCUCGGACGGAGUAGAUGAGAAGGUGAGAUGGACGCAUUGUACUGUCUGUUGUCAAGGAGUACAGAGUAUGCGAGAUUUACUGCGAGGGAUUUUUCAUUUCUUUAUCAUUCAGGAGGGGAAUGUUUCAGGAGUUUUGGUUCAUAUUGAUAAAUAUAUUCUAAUACGGUCAUGUCCAUUGGUUAUGAUAAAUUUCUUCGAUGGUACUGCACUUCGAUCAUUCAAAAAGGUAGUUAAUGAGAGGGAUAUAUAUAAAAAAAAACCGGGGAUGUUUCAAUUGGUAUCAGAGCCCACUCCUAAGGGACAGCAUGCGCCAGCCAUCUCGUCAGGAACUCGACUACUUCAACCAACAA